CUGAGCAAGGUGCUUUAAAUAUAUCAUCUUGGUUAAUCCUUGCAACCACCCUGCGAGGUAGAUAUUAUUCUCUUCGUUUUACACACGCCGCCGCCGCGAGGGUGGCUCGGCAAGGUCACCCUAGUGUCACGUGGUGAGGUGGGGUAGAACCAGCAUCCCAAACCCAGGCUGCUUCACUCCAACUCCCGUGCCCCCAUCCCAUGCCACUUCCCCUGGUGACUGCUGAACGCCAUCCUUUAGGUCCUCCUUCCUGGCUACUGGCUGUGAGCGUUGCGGGGAAGAACUGCCGGGCAAAGGCCAGGCGGGGAGGCAGCGGAGAGCGGGAGGACUGGAGCUGCAGUGUCGUAACCAACCGAGUUCUCUGCAUGGCUGUUGGAGGGCCUGAGGACUGAAGCCACAGAAACGCAUUAGGAGUUGAGAAAGCAGGGCGGCGGCGGUGAAAGGCAGGCAGAUGGGCCUUGGAGGCAUCUGUGGGGAACUUGGGACUCUUCCAUGGCUCUGGGACACAAGGAACCUCAUUAGGAAGGGAAGAAGGGAGCCCCAGAGUGCCAGCUGCUAUUGUUGCCUUAUCAUGCCAUCGGCCCAGCAAGGGGCUCCCAGCAGAUGGAACGUUCCAAGGGCCCUCGAGGGGCCCCUCUUCUGACCACAGAAUGUGGUACCCCCAGAGAGGCAGCAGGGGGGUAGACGGGCACCCUCCAGCCUGGCUAUGACUGUGGUCCCCAUGGUAGCUCCAGAAUGUGGCUGCCUUGGACUUGGAGAGGACAGUGAAGAGCCUUAUCCUCAGGUCCAAUUACAGAGCCCAGAUCCACACAGCCCCACAGCCCCACAAAGAUCCAUGCCGACCCCCUCCCCGCAUCCAUGCCAACAGUGGUGUAUGUCUGUCUGCCUCGAACAAAACUGUUCUCUUAUAGAUGACAUGCAAACACAAGGCUUGCCCAGCGUCACAAAACUAGCAGAAUUCUGUCUUCUGGUUCUGUGCCCGGAGCUUAGCACACAAUAGGAAGGUGGCAGGGGAAACAGCAUAGACCUGGGAGACCGCUAGGCUAGACUGAAAGCCGGCUCUGCCCCUGCAGUGUGGCAUCAUCUUGGAGCCAUGCUCUCCUCUUCAGGAACUCCCAGGCUGGCCAGGAAGCCCAGAGACAGUGGAGCAGUUUAAUCUAUAAAUUAGGCAAGAGAUUAAGAAGCAAUAACAAACUCUAUAUGACACACCAAGGCUCCCAACGCCACCAGGACAAGUGAAGAGGUACUGGAGAGAAGGAGAAAUGAAGAGCUGUUUUGGUUUUGGUUUUGUUUUGGUCUUGUUUUUGUUUGUUUGCUUGCUUUGUUUUGAUUUUUUAUAUAUAUUUUAUAUUUUAACAAUGUAUUACCAACAGCAUACUGUAAUAAAAGUUAUGUGAAUGUG